rnacentral:rRNA from 1 species
CAGCCGCCGCGGUAAUACGUAGGGUGCAAGCGUUAAUCGGAAUUACUGGGCGUAAAGGGCGCGUAGGUGGUUAUUUAAGUGAGAUGUGAAAGCCCCGGGCUUAACCUGGGAACUGCAUCUUAUACUGGGUCACUAGAGUGUGGUAGAGGAUAGUGGAAUUUCCGGUGUAGCAGUGAAAUGCGUAGAGAUCGGAAGGAACAUCUGUGGCGAAGGCGACUAUCCGGGCCAACACUGACACUGAGGCACGAAAGCGUGGGGAGCAAACAGGAUUAGAUACCCCUGUAGUCCCUGUCUCUUAUAC